UAUUAUGUACAUGCCUAUAGCAUUAACGCACUUGAUUCCAUCAAAACUCCACAAUUAAGUGUGUUUGGGCUAGAGUAGUACUGGGAUGGGUGACCUCUCGGGAAAUCCUAGUGUUUUACAUGC
rnacentral:rRNA from 1 species